GCUCAGAACGAACGCUGGCGGCAGGCUUAACACAUGCAAGUCGAACGCCCCGCAAGGGGAGUGGCAGACGGGUGAGUAACGCGUGGGAAUCUACCGUGCCCUGCGGAAUAGCUCCGGGAAACUGGAAUUAAUACCGCAUACGCCCUACGGGGGAAAGAUUUAUCGGGGUAUGAUGAGCCCGCGUUGGAUUAGCUAGUUGGUGGGGUAAAGGCCUACCAAGGCGACGAUCCAUAGCUGGUCUGAGAGGAUGAUCAGCCACAUUGGGACUGAGACACGGCCCAAACUCCUACGGGAGGCAGCAGUGGGGAAUAUUGGACAAUGGGCGCAAGCCUGAUCCAGCCAUGCCGCGUGAGUGAUGAAGGCCUUAGGGUUGUAAAGCUCUUUCACCGGAGAAGAUAAUGACGGUAUCCG
rnacentral:rRNA from 1 species